rnacentral:rRNA from 1 species
UUGAUCCUGGCUCAGAAUCAACGCUGGCGGCAUGCCUAACACAUGCAAGUCGAACGCGAAAGGGUCCUUCGGGAUCUGAGUAGAGUGGCGUCCGGGUGAUUAACGCGUAGAUUAUCUACCUUCGGGUGGGGAAUAACUCAGGGAAACUUUAGCUAAUACCGCAUAACAUCGAAAGAUCAAAGCAGGGGAUCGCAAGACCUUGCGCCUGAAGAGGAGUCUGCGUCUGAUUAGCUAGUUGGUAAGGUAAUGUCUUACCAAGGCUUCGAUCAGUAGCUGGUCUGAGAGGACGGCCAGCCACAUUGGCACUGAAACACGGGCCAAACUCCUACGGGAGGCAGCAGUGGGGAAUUUUGGGCAAUGGGCGAAAGCCUGACCCAGCAAUGCCGCGUGAACGAUGAAUUCCUUCGGGAUGUAAAGUUCGGAAGUAAGGAACGAAAAGCUUUGGGAUAUUACCCCCAAGUGCUGACGGUACCUUAUCUAAGCCCCGGCUAACUACGUGUCAGCAGCCGCU